ACUCCUACGGGAGGCAGCAGUGGGGAAUAUUGGACAAUGGGGGAAACCCUGAUCCAGCCAUGCCGCGUGUGUGAGAGGCCUCGGGUUGUAAAGCACUUUCAGUGGGGAGGAAAGGUUGAUGGUUAAUACCUAUCAGCUGUGACGUUACCCACAGAAGAAGCACCGGCUAACUCCGUGCCAGCAGCCGCGGUAAUACGGAGGGUGCAAGCGUUAAUCGGAAUUACUGGGCGUAAAGCGUGCGCAGGCGGUCUGUUAAGCGAGAUGUGAAAG
rnacentral:rRNA from 1 species